rnacentral:miRNA from 4 species
AUGCACCUGGGCAAGGAUUCU